rnacentral:sRNA from 1 species
UCUUCAUUGUGUGAAUAGCCCCCUUUUCUUGGCUCCAGGGCUUUUGCCUGCACACAGCAGACACAACAGUCCGUCCGGGCACCUGACCCACAGCCGCAGCAGCAGCAAAGGCAGUGUGGAGGAGAUCAUGUCACAGCCAAAGCAGAAGGAGCUGGCAGGCAGCGUGCGGCAGAAGAUGCUUCUCGACUACAGUGUGUACAUGGGCAGGUGUGUCCCCCAGGAAAGCCGAAGCCCCCAGAGGAGCCCCCUGCAGAGUGCGGAGAGCAGCCCCACAGCUGGGAAGAAGUUGCCAGAGGUUCCACCCUCUGAGGAGGAAGAACAGGAAGCCUGGGUGAAUGCCUUGCUUGGAAGAAUAUUUUGGGACUUCUUAGGAGAGAAAUACUGGUCUGAUCUGGUGUCUAAGAAGAUCCAAAUGAAACUCAGCAAAAUAAAGCUCCCCUACUUUAUGAAUGAGCUCACUCUGACGGAACUUGACAUGGGCGUGGCUGUGCCAAAGAUUCUCCAGGCCUUCAAGCCUUACGUUGAUCACCAAGUUGCAGGCCCCGGGCAUUCUG